rnacentral:rRNA from 1 species
AUUGAACGCUGGCGGCAUGCCUUACACAUGCAAGUCGAACGGCAGCACGGGUGCUUGCACCUGGUGGCGAGUGGCGAACGGGUGAGUAAUACAUCGGAACGUACCUUAUCGUGGGGGAUAACGCAGCGAGAGCUGUGCUAAUACCGCAUACGCCCUGAGGGGGAAAGCGGGGGAUCGCAAGACCUCGCGCGAUUAGAGCGGCCGAUGCCUGAUUAGCUAGUUGGUGGGGUAAAAGCCCACCAAGGCGACGAUCAGUAGCUGGUCUGAGAGGACGAUCAGCCACACUGGGACUGAGACACGGCCCAGACUCCUACGGGAGGCAGCAGUGGGGAAUUUUGGACAAUGGGGGCAACCCUGAUCCAGCAAUGCCGCGUGAGUGAAGAAGGCCUUCGGGUUGUAAAGCUCUUUUGUCAGGGAAGAAACACCGGCUCUAACACAGUCCGGGAAUGACGGUACCUGAAGAAUAAGCACCGGCUAACUACGUGCCAGCAGCCGCGAUAA